rnacentral:rRNA from 1 species
CUACGGGAUGCACCAGUGGGGAAUAUUGCACAAUGGAGGAAACUCUGAUGCAGCAACGCCGCGUGGAGGAUGACACUUUUCGGAGCGUAAACUCCUUUUAUAUAGGAAGAAGAUGACGGUACUAUAUGAAUAAGCGCCGGCUAACUCCGUGCCAGCAGCCGCGGUAAUACGGAGGGCGCAAGCGUUACCCGGAAUCACUGGGCGUAAAGAGCGUGUAGGCGGAUUAAAAAGUCAGAAGUGAAAUCCUAUAGCUUAACUAUAGAACUGCUUCUGAAACUCUUAAUCUAGAAUGUGGGAGAGGUAGAUGGAAUUUCUGGUGUAGGGGUAAGAUCCGUAGAGAUCAGAAGGAAUACCGAUUGCGAAGGCGAUCUACUAGAACAUUAUUGACGCUGAGACGCGAAAGCGUGGGGAGCAAACAGGAUUAGAUACCCUGGUAGUC